rnacentral:rRNA from 1 species
ACGUAGGGUGCAAGCGUUAUCCGGAUUUACUGGGCGUAAAGCGCGCGUAGGCGGCUUGUUAAGUGUGAAGUGAAAUCUCCAGGGCUCAACCCGGAAACUGCUUCGCAUACUGGCAAGCUUGAGGAAGGCAGAGGUUAGUAGAAUUCCUGGUGUAGCGGUGAAAUGCAUAGAUAUCAGGAGGAAUACCAACGGCGAAGGCAGCUAACUGGGCCUUAUCUGACGCUGAGGCGCGAAAGCGUGGGUAGCAAACAGGAUUAGAUACCCUGGUAGUCCACGCCCUAAACGAUGGAUACUAGAUGUAAGAGGUAUCAACCCCUCUUGUGUCGCAGCUAACGCAUUAAGUAUCCCGCCUGGGGAGUACGGCCGCAAGGUUG